CUCGCGCAGCAGUAAACAAACUUUAGGGACGCAUCCCGUGUGUUCCCGGCCUAAUGGCGUCGGCUCUGCCUUAUUAUUUUGAGUCAGAGUCCGAUCUUGAACAAGGAGAUGAUAGACCCGAUCCACCUUUGCAAGCAGGACUGGAGCAGGAAAACAAGCAUACCCAGCACCGUGCAGUCUGAAGGGGGGGAAAUGUGGAAGUGUGGAGAAAGAACAUAAAUAACCGAGGAAUUGACAGACUUCAGGACUGCUUCAAAGAUUUUGCAACAUCUCCUGCCAGAUCUCUCAAACUGACAAAUGUAAAGCCAGCGUUUGGUAAAAGUACAGCUGGUCCAAGAACACUCAGAUGACCUCCAAAAGUUGUCUCUUUUGUCCUGGGAGAGAGUGAUGUGCCAAGUCCCCAGUCUGCGUGCCCUGCGAGUGAGCGUGGUUCCUGGCAGCGAUGCCAGUCCAGAGACGGGUAGGAGUUCUGCAGGCCAUCUGGGAAAGCUCCAGGAGGAUCUUGGGAGAGCCUGGCGCUCAUCGGUGGGGCCUGGGACCUGAAAGUGCACCAUAAUCGUAAACACAAAUGCAACCAGAAGAAGUAAGCACGAACACAUGAAUGCACCAGGACUCUCAAAAGUUAAAAACCCAAACACAUGAAGAGCUUCAGCUUAACAUGUUUAGUAACCGCAAGGAUUGAAUUGAACUUGCCGUAAAUAUCCCAUUUAACAGAUAAGGAAUUUUAGGGUUAAGUGGAAAAUGCAACUGAUAGAAACUGAACUGCUCAUUCACUUUGAAAACACAUCAGUGAAUAAAACUUACACUCCUGAUGUACUUUGGCUU